UAGGGAAUCUUCGGCAAUGGACGGAAGUCUGACCGAGCAACGCCGCGUGAGUGAAGAAGGUUUUCGGAUCGUAAAGCUCUGUUGUAAGAGAAGAACGAGUGUGAGAGUGGAAAGUUCACACUGUGACGGUAUCUUACCAAAAAGGGACGGCUAACUACGUGCCACCAGCCGCGGUAAUACGUAGGUCCCGAGCGUUGUCCGGAUUUAUUGGGCGUAAAGCGAGCGCAGGCGGUUAGAUAAGUCUGAAGUUAAAGGCUGUGGCUUAACCAUAAUACGCUUUGGAAACUGUUUAACUUGAGUGCAAGAGGGGAGAGUGGAAUUCCAUGUGUAGCGGUGAAAUGCGUAGAUAUAUGGAGGAACACCGGUGGCGAAAGCGGCUCUCUGGCUUGUAACUGACGCUGAGGCUCGAAAGCGUGGGGAGCAAACAGGAUUAGAUACCCUGGUAGUCCACGCCGUANCGAUGAGUGCUANNGUUAGACCCUUUCCGGGGUUUAGUGCCGCAGCUNACGCAUUAAGCACUCCGCCUGGGGAGUACGACCGCGNUGUUG
rnacentral:rRNA from 1 species